GGAAAAGAAUUGCAAGGUUCAGAGAGCUGGCGGCGAAAUCUGUGGUCCAUAGGGAAGCUGUUGUCUUGAAUGGAUUGGGAUGGAGGGAGAUGGGCAGGGAAAACCCGGUCAGGUUUAGGAGUCUGAGCUGAGUUUGGGGAGGCAUGGUGCAGUGGUGACACAGGAGUGCUGGAUGGCGUUGGUGGGUUGGAGGGCCUCAUUCCCACUUGUGGCUUCUGAUCAUAGGCACUGACAUUGUACAGGCACUUUUCCCCAUAACUGAACUUGAAUGGUUGCUCUUGACUACAAGCAGAGCCAAGUUCUGAACAUGGGCUAUGGGGUUCCUUCUUGAUUUUCACAGGGAGACCAUGAAAAGCCAAACUUUCAGCCUGAUAGUCUGGCACAAACUGCUCGUCAUUGUCAGGUACCUGAGCUUCUGCAAGCCAUGUCUCCUGUAAUUGGCUCAGAUCUUGAAAGAGUUCUUCUGAAUCAUGAGCCAGGUCUCUGUUAAUGAAUUUUCUUUUCCUGACAUUUGUCGGUCUCUCAUUACAGUUUCUCCCACGCGGAUUAUUGGUGACCAUGUAAGGCACUUGCUGGUCAUAAAAUCCAUCCAUCCUGUGGCUCUUCCACGAGUCUGAGCUCAGUGUUUUAUUUAGUGGGCAUUGGAUCUGGAGAUUUCCUCGGGAUCUGGACUCCAAUCAGCCUGAAGGCCACGCGCGGCGAUCGGCUGCAAAAAAUUUCCCUCCAAAUUUAAUAAAAACAUUAAUUAUUCC
rnacentral:lncRNA from 1 species